rnacentral:rRNA from 1 species
ACGCUAGCUACAGGCUUAACACAUGCAAGUCGAGGGGCAGCAUUUUAGUUUGCUUGCAAACUGAAGAUGGCGACCGGCGCACGGGUGAGUAACACGUAUCCAACCUGCCGAUAACUCCGGAAUAGCCUUUCGAAAGAAAGAUUAAUACCGGAUAGUAUACGAAUAUCGCAUGAUAUUUUUAUUAAAGAAUUUCGGUUAUCGAUGGGGAUGCGUUCCAUUAGUUUGUUGGCGGGGUAACGGCCCACCAAGACUACGAUGGAUAGGGGUUCUGAGAGGAAGGUCCCCCACAUUGGAACUGAGACACGGUCCAAACUCCUACGGGAGGCAGCAGUGAGGAAUAUUGGUCAAUGGGCGAGAGCCUGAACCAGCCAAGUAGCGUGAAGGAUGAAGGCUCUAUGGGUCGUAAACUUCUUUUAUAUGGGAAUAAAGUUUUCCACGUGUGGAAUUUUGUAUGUACCAUAUGAAUAAGGAUCGGCUAACUCCGUGCCAGCAGCCGCGGUAAUACGGAGGAUCCGAGCGUUAUCCGGAUUUAUUGGGUUUAAAGGGAGCGUAGGUGGAUUGUUAAGUCAGUUGUGAAAGUUUGCGGCUCAACCGUAAAAUUGCAGUUGAAACUGGGAGUCUUGAGUACAGUAGAGGUGGGCGGAAUUCGUGGUGUAGCGGUGAAAUGCUUAGAUAUCACGAAGAACUCCGAUUGCGAAGGCAGCUCACUAGACUGUCACUGACACUGAUGCUCGAAAGUGUGGGUAUCAAACAGGAUUAGAUACCCUGGUAGUCCACACAGUAAACGAUGAAUACUCGCUGUUUGCGAUAUACAGUAAGCGGCCAAGCGAAAGCAUUAAGUAUUCCACCUGGGGAGUACGCCGGCAACGGUGAAACUCAAAGGAAUUGACGGGGGCCCGCACAAGCGGAGGAACAUGUGGUUUAAUUCGAUGAUACGCGAGGAACCUUACCCGGGCUUAAAUUGCAACAGAAUAUAUUGGAAACAGUAUAGCCGUAAGGCUGUUGUGAAGGUGCUGCAUGGUUGUCGUCAGCUCGUGCCGUGAGGUGUCGGCUUAAGUGCCAUAACGAGCGCAACCCUUAUCUUUAGUUACUAACAGGUCAUGCUGAGGACUCUAGAGAGACUGCCGUCGUAAGAUGUGAGGAAGGUGGGGAUGACGUCAAAUCAGCACGGCCCUUACGUCCGGGGCUACACACGUGUUACAAUGGGGGGUACAGAAGGCGGCUACCUGGUGACAGGAUGCUAAUCCCAAAAACCUCUCUCAGUUCGGAUCGAAGUCUGCAACCCGACUUCGUGAAGCUGGAUUCGCUAGUAAUCGCGCAUCAGCCAUGGCGCGGUGAAUACGUUCCCGGGCCUUGUACACACCGCCCGUCAAGCCAUGAAAGCCGGGGGUACCUGAAGUACGUAACCGCAAGGAGCGUCCUAGGGUAAAACUGGUAAUUGGGGC